GACAGAUAGAGAAGGGAAAAGAGAGAAGAGGAUCAUCAGACCAAGUGAGUAAUCCCUCCUCAAUUGUAAUUUUCACUUUUCUUGCUUUCUCUUCUGCUUUUUUUAUUCCUUCUCCCUUUCGUAAU
rnacentral:ribozyme from 13 species